AAAAAAUACCCGAGGGGUAGUUAUUGGUUCGAGACAUCUGUGUCCCUUUCAGAGCCAGAAGUUCUGCAGUCACCUGCAGAGGUAGAUGAUGUUGGCUUACUGAGUCUAUGAAGCAAGGGAAGAAAUUUAAAAAGGAGAUUCAACAGCACUUAACUGGUGCCAAGUGGCUGUUUGUACCUAGUGAGGUGUUUGAUGGUUAAGUGGAAAGAACAGGUAAAUUGAAUGCACCAGAUCAUUUUCCUAUGAAUAUAUGCUUCUGUAAUAUGACAUGGAGAAGUCUGAGUUAUGGGAUGAUAUGAGUGCAUGGGAAACUGCUUUUGGCAAUAUAUGCUGUUAAGAAGAGGACUUGAAGAAAACAGUUAGGGAUGGCUCCCCAGAUCAACAUACCUGUGGAUGUCAUUCUUCAGUGGAUCACACAACUCUGUUCAAGACACACACGUAUUUCUUCACUGAGCAGAAUAUGUCUAAAAGCCAAGCACUGCCACACUUGCUUGUCAAGGAUUUAGCUAGAAAGGACUUAAUAACAUGACUGCACAAUGUUGUAAAAAAAAAAAAUCCCAAACAGCAGGAGACCUGAUAGCCUUUUUUUUUUUGCCAUUUCUGCUUUUUUACAAUGUGCUUUCCACAAGCAUUGUUUUUCAAUUGAAUGCUAAGUAUUUAUUAAUAAGACAAUCUUUCCUGCUUUUUGCCUCUUUAUGUGGCAUUUAAUCAUAUAUUCAUGCAUGUUUAUACAUAUAGUAGCUAGUAAUGGUACUUGAUGAAAAAUUCUUGAAUUAGCAAAGACAAGGUGAAACCUGUGAACCUUGACAGAAGAGCAGUGGUGGGAAUGUUCUAGUAUAACUGAGUUUGUUCUUGUAUAAUGGAGAAAAAAGCAUUUGGAAGACAAGGAAAUAAAGUAGUUUGGUUUUUUGGUUUUUUUUCACUGAUAUGAAAAUAUAAAUGAAUAGGUAAAUAUA